ACGCGGGCGGGGGGGGGGGGCGUGUGUGGCCACCUGGCAGGACGGUGGAACUCAAGGGGAGAGGAACCCCACACGUCGGAGCCGCGCCGGCUACUGUCAUACACAGGGGCUCGCGCGUCACAACAAGCCCCUUCCUCGAGGAUUAAUCAAAUGGGCAAUUCCAGUCAGUCAGAGAUAAUGCAGUGAAUUGGAUGGCUUCACAGUUCAGCAUAGCCAAUCAAAUGAAAUUAACUGAGAACAAGAAAAGCCAGAAACAACAAAUACUCAAAAAUUAUUGGUAAAGAAGCCUCUGUUGCAGAACAAAACUUGUUAUUCACCAACUUGGGAAAACAAGACCAUUUGGCUGCAUAGGAUCUCAAUGUGGAAAGCUCCCUUGCCACUGUCAAGAUGGCUUGCACCUGGUCACUGAAAAUGGUCACAGCUCUAUCCACCGGGCUGUCAGAUGUAGUGACUCCACUUCCAGGUGAAGACAACAGCCCCCAUCAGUAGGUACAGCACCGAUGGCAGACGCUGACCCAGACGGCAAAGAAGACAAAGUUGCAGCUCUAUAUUUCCCACUAGUUGUCUUCUUAUGGGAGGUACGAAAAGCCAGUCAUCUAUGUACGGGUAAACCGUAACACCCUGGAGUUGAAGGUGGACUGCCGCCACCACCAUGCAUUUGCACCUCCCUGUCAAAUGGCAAGUCCUCUAUGCGCAUCCUGGCUUCUGGGGACAGAGAAUAGGAGCGUAGCCAUGCGUGCCUUGGCAAGAAAACUGCAGAUGCCAUGGUGCGAGAGCCACAAUCGGCGCAAUGCCUCAAGGAAUGCAGUUUCUGCUUCGUUACGCAGAGGCCUUCGUUUAGAAAACACAGCACGGCAUUCCUCUGUUCCUCUCUGGAGCUGUUGGAGAAAAGGUGCCAACUUCUUUAAAAAUAAAUGUUGGUAACGUG